UAUCUAGAAAGUGGUAAUUCAGUUCAUUAACCCACUUAUAAAAUCAAUAUAUCACGCAGGGAGCUGAACAAAACUUGGCAGCUGUGCCUAUAUCCCCUUUGCACCUGAGGGAAGCCUGACUGAAAGAAUCAGAGCCUCUUCACUCUGCCUGUGGCAGCGUGCAGCAGCCACGGACCCUCACCAGGAUCUGCAGAGCAAGCCUUGCCUCCUAAGUUAGCUCUUGGAAACUUUUGUGCAUAGGAUGUCCAGCUGCAGGAGGCUUUUUCUUUAGUGGAAGUGGAGGUUCGCAUAGAAAUAGGUUGAUCUUCCUGAGUCCCCGGUGGCACAGGUCCCAGAGCCCUGGGUUACUUAGGGUCAGUCGUCCUGGUGGUUGCAGUCAUGACGGAGUGGUAAAUCCACUAUUGAUUCUCAGAUAUUUCAUCUACUUUCUUUUGUAUUAGUAAUAAGAUUAAAAAAAAUACAUCGCAGGAGAACAUGUGUUUCACAAAUGCCGUCAUUGUUUUCUGAAACAGAAAGGCUGGUCGAAAAGCGGAGCUGGAAAAGCACGACCCCCCAUUUUGUGCGUGGUAGGCUCCUCUUGACAUUAUGCACUGACGUGAAAGGAUAUGGCUUUCCUGCUGACUUCAGCGAGAGGGAGCAUGGACAUUUGGAAAAGAAAUACAGGCUUAGCAGCAGUGGAGUAAGCAUCUACAUGAAGGUCUACUAUUGCAAUGGAAAACAGAUUACUAAAUGUAGCAACUGGCAGGUUGUUUGUGACAGAGAUUCAGCAAUGCCCUGUGCUGAACAUGAUUCACGUAAUGCACAGACAGUGGAUACUGUGUUUGAAAGGGGCCUAAUCAACAAUCUUAGGAAUAAAGAAGGAUUUUAACUCAAAAAUGUUGAUGCGUGAAGAAACAUAAUUCUCUGUGUGCUCAGUUACUGUUUAGGGGACAUGUGUACUAUAGCAACCACAUUGAAUCAGUCCAGUGCCAUUCAAAAGCAAAUUAAGUUGUAAAAUCCCACUGUACAUUUAUGAGUGUGUGUAAAUAUAUGUAUGGAAAUUAUUUAUAUAUUUGCUACUUUGCAUAUAUUUUUCCUCUUCCAGUAUACUCAGCUCAUCCCUGGAAUCACUCUACCUCGGGUAACAGUGAGGUAUCAAGGAGGUAUUUUGCUCUUUCUAUGAAAUUUUUGAGAAGAAACUUCCCGUAACAUCUGACAAGACCACGCACCACCCCCAGAAGAGCUGUUCUCAUCCAGAUAGUGGACUCAUGAGCACGAAGGAACCUCUGCUCCUCUGGCUCAGGCCACAGCACAAAUCCACUCUGCAGAGGGUGCAAUAGUGGAUACCACUGCUCAAGGCAGCAUAAGGAAACGCUAAAGAAAUGCAACUUCUUUAACAUUUCCUGGCCCCUGGAAGUGAGGAUUGGGCUUUCAGGGGUCAUUCUAAAGGAGGGUGGUGGGAGAUGCCUUUUGAUGCCCAAGGGAUCGCAUGUCUUGUAAAAAGGGUGGAGGGCAGUAGGAAGACAGGAAUGGUGCCAGAGUGUCAGAGGCUUGUCUCAUCGAUGGCUGAUUGAGCAAGGAGUCUUUGUAAACCUCUCCUAGGCACUUUGUACUCGAAGAUGAGGGAUACACAGUCACUGAAGAAGGAGGCUGAUCAAACUACUCUUACCAUGAAGAAGAUACUGUGGAUCUGUAACCCAGCAGUGCUGAUUAUUGCUUGUAGCCUCUUUGUUUUGUAAAUGAACACAAAAAAUGUAGUGUCCUCUUGAGAUUUAGGGUGCAGCUCCAUGUUAAGGAUCCUUCAUUAGCGGAUCCAAAAUACCCUCUCUAUACCCUGUCCCUGCUCCCAUGCAAGGGGGCUGCGUCUGCUGCCAUGCCUAUUCCUAGUGUGACCAAGAGUGGUGAAAAUAGGUAAAUUAUAGCAAGAAGUGCAUAAAAAAAUAGAUAGAUAAUAGGAAAAAAGUGCUUCUUUAGGACCAGGCCAUUCUACGUCUCUGUGUUAACUGAGCUGGUGCAAAGGAGAGGGAUAACUGAACUUCCUAGGGGAUGGGAGGUGGCAGGGAUGAGUGUGGAUGGUGGGGGCAGGGGCAGAAACUUUUAACAAAUGCUGCUGCCAAAGGACCGAAAACAUCAUAAUCCACUCUUAAUUUAUUGGGAUGGAUUUCGUCUAACUCUACUAAAAAACAGGUGUGCAUAUGGACACUGGGCAUGUCUGGAGAGCGAGAGCCCUAUCCCAUGUAAUAAAUCAGCUUCUUGCUGCUGAGAUGCUCUUUCU
rnacentral:lncRNA from 1 species